UUACCUUUCAUUGCAGCCAGGGCAGAAAGGAACAGAAGAAGACAUUGCUGACAACACUGGCCUUCAGACGGCUUUCAAAGCAUACUCUAGAGUACUUGAAGACGAAUGUGCGAACGUAGACACUCGCCUAAUAGGUCUGGAGAACAUCACCGGAAUGCAGCUGUUCUUCAUUUCGAAUGCUAGAACUCAGUGCAGAAUUGCAGCCAAGGAUACGCUCAUCAAAGAGUUAAAGCUGGCAAUCACCCCUGCUCGACACAGG